UCAUAUGCUUGUCUCAAAGAUUAAGCCAUGCAUGUCUAAGUUCAUGCCGUAUUAAGGCGAAACCGCGAAUGGCUCAUUAAAUCAGUUAUGGUUCCUUGGAUCGUACUUUACUACUUGGAUAACUGUGGCAAUUCUAGAGCUAAUACAUGCAGCAGAGCUCCGACGCCCCUCGGGGCGGACGAGCGCUUUUAUUAGACCAAAACCGAUCGGGGGCAACUCCGUUUCGCGUGGUGACUCUGAAUAACUUUGGGCCGAUCGCACGGGCUUCGUCCCGGCGACGUAUCCUUCAAGUGUCUGCCUUAUCAACUGUCGACGGUAGUUUAAUCGCCUACCGUGGUUUUUACGGGUAACGGGGGAUCAGGGUUCGAUUCCGGAGAGGGAGCCUGAGAAACGGCUACCACAUCCAAGGAAGGCAGCAGGCGCGCAAAUUACCCACUCCCGGCACGGGGAGGUAGUGACGAAAAAUAACGAUACGGGACUCUUUCGAGACCCCGUAAUCGGAAUGAGUACGCUCUAAAUCCGCUAACGACGAACCAUUGGAGGUAAAGUCUGGUGCCAGCAUCCGCGGUAACUCCAGCUCCAAUAGCGUAUAUUAAAGUUGUUGCGGUUAAAAAGCUCGUAGUUGGAUCUGAGUCUCUGCCCGGCGGUCUGCCCCUUCCCGGGGCAGCCUACUGCCGCGACUGCGGGACGUCUGCCGGCUUCCGCCGAUGAUCUUCACCGGUUGUCGGUGGCAGGCCGGCGAGUUUACUUUGAAAAAAUUAGAGUGCUCAAAGCAGGCGCGACGCCUGAAUAAUGGUGCAUGGAAUAAUGGAAUAGGACCUCGGUUCUAUUUUGUUGGUUUUUAGGAACACGAGGUAAUGAUUAAGAGGAACGGACGGGGGCAUUCGUAUUGCGACGCUAGAGGUGAAAUUCUUGGACCGCCGCACGACGAACUACUGCGAAAGCAUUUGCCAAGAAUGUUUCCAUUAAUCAAGAACGAAAGUCAGAGGAUCGAAGGCGAUCAGAUACCGCCCUAGUUCUGACCGUAAACGAUGCCAGCCAGCGAUCCGGCUGCGUUCCUUAACAUGACGCGCCGKGCAGCUUCCCUGAAAAGAGAGCUUUUGGGUUCCGGGGGGAGUAUGGUUGCAAAGCUGAAAYUUAAAGGAAUUGACGGAAGCGCACACAAGAAAUGGGGCCUGCGGCUUAAUUUGACUCAACACGGUGCAACUCUCCCGGCCCGGACACAGGAAGGAUUGACAGAUUGAGAGCUCUUUCUUGAUUCUGUGACAGGUGGUGCAUGGCCGUUUCUAGUUGGUGGAGUGAUUUGUCUGCUUUAUUGCGAUAACGAGCGAGACUCUAGCCUGCUAACUACGGCGCCCCUCACUCUAUAUGCGAGGGGUCGUCUUCUUAGAGGGACAAGCGGUGUUCAGCCGCACGAAACGGAGCAAUAACAGGUCUGUGAUGCCCUUAGAUGUUCGGGGCCGCACGCGCGCCACAUUGAAGGAGACGACGUGUUUUCUCCUGCGCCGAGAGGCGCGGGUAAUCCGUUGAAACUCCUUCGUGCUGGGGAUUGGGACUUGCAAUUGUUUCCCAUGAACGAGGAAUUCCUAGUAAGCAUCGAGUCAUCAGCUCGUGUUGAUUACGUCCCUGCGCUUUGUGCACACCGCCCGUCGCUAUUAUCGAUGAAUUUUGGAGUGAGAUCAUCGGACUGGUCUCCUUUUUGGCUCUUUACGUGUCGAUGGGGAGUGCUGGAAAGAUGACCGAACUUGAAUAUUUAGAGAAAAUAAAAGUCGUAACAAGGCUUCCGUAGG
rnacentral:rRNA from 1 species